rnacentral:rRNA from 1 species
AUUGAACGCUGGCGGCAUGCUUUACACAUGCAAGUCGAACGGCAGCGCGGGCUUCGGCCUGGCGGCGAGUGGCGAACGGGUGAGUAAUACAUCGGAACGUGCCCCGUAGCGGGGGAUAGCUCGCCGAAAGCCGGAUUAAUACCGCAUACGACCUGCGGGUGAAAGCGGGGGAUCUUCGGACCUCGCGCUCUUUGAGCGGCCGAUGGCAGAUUAGCUAGUUGGUGGGGUAAAGGCCUACCAAGGCGCCGAUCUGCAGCUGGUCUGAGAGGACGACCCGCCACACUGGGACGGAGACACGGCCCAGACUCCUACGGGAGGCAGCAGUGGGGAAUUUUGGACAAUGGGCGAAAGCCUGAUCCAGCAAUGCCGCGUGUGUGAUGAAGGCCUUCGGGUUGUAAAGCACUUUUGGCGGGAACGAAAAGGACUGUGCCAAUACCACGGUUCGAUGACGGUACCCGCAGAAUAAGCACCGGCUAACUACGUG